rnacentral:rRNA from 1 species
GACGAACGCUGGCGGUAUGCUUAACACAUGCAAGUCGAACGAGACGAGAUGGAAGUGCUUGCACGGAAAUCUUAGAAAGUGGCGAACGGGUGAGUAACGCGAGGGUAACCUGCCCUAUGGAAAGGAAUAGCCUCGGGAAACUGGGAGUAAUGCCUUAUAAGAUACAUUUGUCGCAUGGCAGAAGUAUUAAACGCACCGGUGCCAUAGGAUGGACCCGCGUCCCAUUAGCUAGUUGGUGAGAUAACAGCCCACCAAGGCGACGAUGGGUAACCGGUCGGAGAGGGCGAACGGCCACACUGGAACUGAGACACGGUCCAGACUCCUACGGGAGGCAGCGGUGGGGAAUAUGGCGCAAUGGGGGCAACCCUGACGGAGCAAUACCGCGUGAGUGAAGAAGGUUUUCGGAUCGUAAAGCUCUGUUAUUGGGGAAGAAAAAAGACGGUACCCAAGAAGAAAGUCCCGGCUAACUACGUGCCAGCCGCCGCAGUAA